AUUGAACGCUGGCGGCAGGCUUAACACAUGCAAGUCGAGCGAAGACUUCGGUCUUAGCGGCGAACGGGUGAGGAAUGCCUGGGAAUCUGCCUGUUAGUGGGGGAUAACGAAUCGAAAGGUUCGCUAAUACCGCAUACGUCCUACGGGAGAAAGCAGGGGGACCUUCGGGCCUUGCGCUAACAGAUGAGCCCAGGUCGGAUUAGCUAGUUGGUGGGGUAAAGGCUCACCAAGGCGACGAUCCGUAGCUGGUCUGAGAGGAUGAUCAGCCACACUGGAACUGAGACACGGUCCAGACUCCUACGGGAGGCAGCAGUGGGGAAUAUUGGACAAUGGGCGAAAGCCUGAUCCAGCCAUGCCGCGUGUGUGAAGAA
rnacentral:rRNA from 1 species